ensembl:snoRNA U3 Small nucleolar RNA U3
AAGACUAUACUUUCAGGGGAUCAUUUUCAUAGUAUCCCGACUAAGAAAUUGUGGCUGAAAGUGUAUCAUGGAGAUAACCACGAGGAGUUGGAGCGUUCUCUUCUCAGGCGUGAGAAGCCGGCUUGUGGUGCUGCUUCUCAGCAGCUGUCACUUGCCAUUGAUGAUUGAUGCUUCCUUCCAGGUUGGGUGAGAGGAAGGGAUCGCCAGGCUAGUGAA